rnacentral:rRNA from 1 species
GGAAGGGUAGCCGGACGGAUACAUGCAGUCGAGCGAACAGAUAAGGAGCUUGCUCCUUUGACGUUAGCGGCGGACGGGUGAGUAACACGUGGAUAACCUACCUAUAAGACUGGGAUAACUUCGGGAAACCGGAGCUAAUACCGGAUAAGAUUUUGAACCGCAUGGUUCAAUAGUGAAAGACGGCCUUGCUGUCACUUAUAGAUGGAUCCGCGCCGUAUUAGCUAGUUGGUAAGGUAACGGCUUACCAAGGCAACGAUACGUAGCCGACCUGAGAGGGUGAUCGGCCACACUGGAACUGAGACACGGUCCAGACUCCUACGGGAGGCAGCAGUAGGGAAUCUUCCGCAAUGGGCGAAAGCCUGACGGAGCAACGCCGCGUGAGUGAUGAAGGUCUUCGGAUCGUAAAACUCUGUUAUCAGGGAAGAACAAACGUGUAAGUAACUGUGCACGUCUUGACGGUACCUGAUCAGAAAGCCACGGCUAACUACGUGCCAGCAGCCGCGGUAAUACGUAGGUGGCAAGCGUUAUCCGGAAUUAUUGGGCGUAAAGCGCGCGUAGGCGGUUUUUUAAGUCUGAUGUGAAAGCCCACGGCUCAACCGUGGAGGGUCAUUGGAAACUGGAAAACUUGAGUGCAGAAGAGGAAAGUGGAAUUCCAUGUGUAGCGGUGAAAUGCGCAGAGAUAUGGAGGAACACCAGUGGCGAAGGCGACUUUCUGGUCUGUAACUGACGCUGAUGUGCGAAAGCGUGGGGAUCAAACAGGAUUAGAUACCCUGUAGUCCACGCCGUAACGAUGAGUGCUAGUGUUAGGGGGUUUCGCCCCUUAGUGCUGCAGCUAACGCAUUAGCACUCCGCCUGGGGAGUACGACCGCAGUUGGAUACUCAGAAAAUUUUCGCGG